rnacentral:rRNA from 1 species
CCUACGGGUGGCAGCAGUGAGGAAUAUUGGUCAAUGGACGAGAGUCUGAACCAGCCAAGUAGCGUGAAGGAUGACUGCCCUAUGGGUUGUAAACUUCUUUUAUAUGGGAAUAAAACGUUCCACGUGUGGGAUUUUGUAUGUACCAUAUGAAUAAGGAUCGGCUAACUCCGUGCCAGCAGCCGCGGUAAUACGGAGGAUCCGAGCGUUAUCCGGAUUUAUUGGGUUUAAAGGUAGCGUAGGUGGAUUGUUAAGUCAGUUGUGAAAGUUUGCGGCUCAACCGUAAAAUUGCAGUUGAAACUGGCAGUCUUGAGUACAGUAGAGGUGGGCGGAAUUCGUGGUGUAGCGGUGAAAUGCUUAGAUAUCACGAAGAACUCCGAUUGCGAAGGCAGUUCACUGGACUGCAACUGACACUGAGGCUCGAAAGUGUGGGUAUCAAACAGGAUUAGAUACCCUUGUAGUC